rnacentral:rRNA from 1 species
UACGCGGGGGGCAAGCGUUGUUCGGAAUUAUUGGGCGUAAAGGGUGCGUAGGCGGUUUGGUAAGUCUGAUGUGAAAUCUAUGGGCUCAACUCAUAGUCUGCAUCGGAAACUGCCGGGCUUGAGUGUGGGAGAGGUGAGUGGAAUUCCUGGUGUAGCGGUGAAAUGCGUAGAUAUCAGGAGGAACACCUGUGGCGAAAGCGGCUCACUGGACCAUAACUGACGCUGAUGCACGAAAGCUAGGGGAGCAAACAGG